CACACCACCUCCCCCCUCCCCCUCUCUAAAUGCUGCUUUUAAAUCAUCCUAUUUACCUUUAUCUCUUUUAUUGUUCUCUGUAAAUUGGAAACUCUCAAGUAACAAUUCCAAGUCUUGUCUGUUGUAGAAAUCCGUAGAAGUUUCCUAAUAUACUCAUAAAGUUAAUUUUUAUGUCUCUGCAAUGUUGGUUUUCUCUUCAUUCUUUAGACAGUAGAACUUUAUGAAUAUAUGACACACUUCUCGUUACUUCCGCUUCAUAGGAUAAUUUUUCCGUUCAUUAAAGUUUUCGCAAUUGAAGGACUUCAACAAAGAAAGUUACAAAAGAUUGUUGUGUCUUGAGUCUUUGCUGUUCUGUCUUGGCUCUCAAAAUGUACUUACAAAUACAUGUUCAUCUUUAUAGAUUUAUGUUUGAAGCACCGACAUGGACCUUGUCGAAAUGCUAGGUUGGAAAAGACUUAUGCUAGAUGCGUUUCAGUGUCAUGAUUGGCAAGGGAAAUUGCAUUUCGUAAACUCAUUUGAAUUAGCCUGAAGCUGGAUUGGAGAUAUUAUUUCCUUGUAUGUGGAAAAUUCACUUUGGUCGCUUUCUCUACCAUGGCUGUAUGCCGUAAAGUUUCUUGGGGUUGUUACAAUCUUAUGCAGAGGACUAGAAAGCCAUUCAUCAGGACUGCGUGAUGGACUACCAUCGACUAGUGCAAUCUUGCAUUAGUCGUUGAAACCUAAACUUGAUCGUUCCAGCGUGGUGCUGAGCUUGAACAGGAUCUCAUGUUUUUCUUAAUUGGUUGAUGUUCCAUGCUAGUAAUAUUAAUCUUUUCAAAACACUAUGAAAUUCUCUUAUUGCAUCAGUCAACUAUCUAUAACAUUGUGUUAACUGUUAAAAUAUCAGUUUUGAAAGGGAAUCAGUUUGUUAAUUGCAAGCAGAAUUAGGAUGUAAGCUGUUAGGAAGAGCCUAUAUUAGUUUCUGUCAGUUUGGUGCUUCACUCAAUAUGAUUAUUGUUCAUUUUCUUUA